AAAAAAUCAUUUUGGUUCGAUGAAGCAAACAAUCAACUUGUCAAUAAAAGAGAGAAGCACGAAGCUCAUUACUUUCUCUUGCGGCCAUGAGAAAAUGCAUAUUUCUCCGUAGCAGUGUCUGGAGGGUGAUGACAAAAAGUAAAUAAUUGAAUAAAGGAAAGCCUCAGUUGCGCAUCUCCUUAACUCAUUUUUCAUGUAAUUAAAUCAGCGGAAUGUUAUAAAAACAUGUAAACUCUGUUCGCGACUCUGGGCCAUUUGCAUUUUUAAUCAAACCAGAUUAAUUCUAAUAGGCGAGCUGGGCUAAAGCGAUGACAGAGCAGGCCUAUUGUGCGUCUGUCACACUCAUUUAAUUCUGUCAUUAUGUCCCAUAUCCUAUUAUGAUAAUUGGCUUUUUAUUCUCAAUCAACAACCAGCACGGGCUAUUCAAUUGUAAUCUCUGACUGCUGCACUCUUCACCCUGAAACAUGCACGAAGUUUACCGUCUUUAAAACCAAGGAGCAGAGAACGUGGAGGAGUAGUUCAUCCAACGUGCAAGCAAACCAGACAAGAGCCGGUUAAAAGAAAAAAAAAAAAAAAAUCAGAUAAUGGACUGGAGCCUCCAAAGUGCCCAAAAACAAUACAAGGAUACAUUAUCAUAUCAAAGUCAUCAUUUGUAAUCGCAUUGGAUUGCUUUUUGCUUCCUUAUUUUCACUCUGGCAGCAAGCAGUCAAAUGCAGAGUGCAACUGCCAUUCAACCCAGGAAAGAGAAGAGGAAUGUCAAGGUUGCAGGUAAACUGCAGCCGAUAUCCCAGAUGACUUUGGGCGAGAGGCGGGGUCCAAGCCAGACUUGUCGCCACGCAAACGUGGGAGAGAGAUUUGAACCCGCGACCUCCCAACUCUCGCGAGGAAGACGUUUUUACCACGACCGCAAUGUGCUGCCCACCACACAACCGUAAUCAGAGGAAGGAAUGCAAACGGAUGUUUUUUUUUUUCUGUAAUCACUAUUCCAGUUGUAACGUUUCAUAAUAAAUCCUGAAUAAUUUGUGAUGUCAGUGCAAUUAAAAACGUUGCCAUUGGAAGAUCAUUUUUAAUUUCAAACGGAUGACGCCACGCCAGGGUAUGUUCGAAUUUUCCAGGUGCACCACUAUUUGCUUACCACGAUUCAUUUCCAAUAAAACACCACUGACUGUACACAAUUUA